AACGAACGCUGGCGGCAGGCUUAACACAUGCAAGUCGAACGCUCUCUUCGGAGAGAGUGGCAGACGGGUGAGUAACGCGUGGGAAUCUACCCAUCCCUACGGGACAACUCCGGGAAACUGGAGCUAAUACCGGAUACGCCCUUCGGGGGAAAGAUUUAUCGCCGAAAGAUCGGCCCGCGUCGGAUUAGCUUGUUGGUGGGGUAAAAGCCUACCAAGGCGACGAUCCGUAGCUGGUCUGAGAGGAUGACCAGCCACACUGGGACUGAGACACGGCCCAGACUCCUACGGGAGGCAGCAGUGGGGAAUAUUGGACAAUGGGCGAAAGCCUGAUCCAGCCAUGCCGCGUGGGUGAAGAAGGCCCUAGGGUUGUAAACCCCUUUCAGCGGGGAAGAUAACGACGGUACCCGCAGAAGAAGCCCCGGCUAACUCCGUGCCAGCAGCCGCGGUAAUACGGAGGGGGCUAGCGUUGUUCGGAAUUACUGGGCGUAAAGCGCGCGUAGGCGGACUUUCAAGUCAGGGGUGAAAUCCCGAGGCUCAACCUCGGAACUGCCUUUGAUACU
rnacentral:rRNA from 1 species